rnacentral:lncRNA from 1 species
UUCAGAUUUUGAUAUUUUGUUUCAUAUUUGGACUUUAACUAAUCUUUACUUGAAUUUUCAGUGCUGCAUAUUUAUCAUAUAGUAUAUAUAUUAUUUUGUUUUCUUUAUCCAUCAUAGAUUACUGGUGAUACAUAUAGUUAUAUCAUAUUGCAUUGUGUUUUAGGAUAUACUUACCAGAUAUUUGUUUUCAUUUUGACUAAUUUGAGUACGAGAUAAAUUUAUAUAGAUUUACCAGAUAGAUUUAUAUAGGUUUGUCAAAUACAUUUGUAUUGAUUUCAGCUAUUCAUUAUCUUUAC